rnacentral:rRNA from 1 species
UGAGUAAUACGUGAGUAACCUGCCCUUGACUCUGGGAUAAGCCUGGGAAACUGGGUCUAAUACUGGAUACUACCUCUUACCGCAUGGUGGGUGGUGGAAAGGGUUUUACUGGUUUUGGAUGGGCUCACGGCCUAUCAGCUUGUUGGUGGGGUAAUGGCUCACCAAGGCGACGACGGGUAGCCGGCCUGAGAGGGUGACCGGCCACACUGGGACUGAGACACGGCCCAGACUCCUACGGGAGGCAGCAGUGGGGAAUAUUGCACAAUGGGCGGAAGCCUGAUGCAGCGACGCCGCGUGAGGGAUGACGGCCUUCGGGUUGUAAACCUCUUUCAGUAGGGAAGAAGCGAGAGUGACGGUACCUGCAGAAGAAGCGCCGGCUAACUACGUGCCAGCAGCCGCGGUAAUACGUAGGGCGCAAGCGUUGUCCGGAAUUAUUGGGCGUAAAGAGCUCGUAGGCGGUUUGUCGCGUCUGCUGUGAAAGCCCGGGGCUCAACCCCGGGUCUGCAGUGGGUACGGGCAGACUAGAGUGCAGUAGGGGAGACUGGAAUUCCUGGUGUAGCGGUGAAAUGCGCAGAUAUCAGGAGGAAC